rnacentral:rRNA from 1 species
GAGUUUGAUCAUGGCUCAGAUUGAACGCUGGCGGCAGGCCUAACACAUGCAAGUCGAGCGGUAGAGAGAAGCUUGCUUCUCUUGAGAGCGGCGGACGGGUGAGUAAUGCCUAGGAAUCUGCCUGGUAGUGGGGGAUAACGCUCGGAAACGGACGCUAAUACCGCAUACGUCCUACGGGAGAAAGCAGGGGACCUUCGGGCCUUGCGCUAUCAGAUGAGCCUAGGUCGGAUUAGCUAGUUGGUGAGGUAAUGGCUCGCCAAGGCGACGAUCCGUAACUGGUCUGAGAGGAUGAUCAGUCACACUGGAACUGAGACACGGUCCAGACUCCUACGGGAGGCAGCAGUGGGGAAUAUUGGACAAUGGGCGAAAGCCUGAUCCAGCCAUGCCGCGUGUGUGAAGAAGGUCUUCGGAUCGUAAAGCACUUUAAGUUGGGAGGAAGGGCAGUAAAUUAAUACUUUGCUGUUUUGACGUUACCGACAGAAUAAGCACCGGCUAACUCUGUGCCAG